AUCCUUUUGUGGUUCACGAGCAUGAUGAUUGGGCUUUCACACUAUUGUGUGUGAUGUUCUCCCUCAACCCUUGUUACAAUGUCAGUACAUUACCCCUCUGACA